CGUCAGCAAGAAAGCAUCCUUUGGGAGAUUAUUUGGAGAAGGUGAUGGCCAGUGGUUGGAGAACUUAGGACUUAAAGAGAGAGACUGUAGGUACGUCCAGGAACUACUCCAUCAUGUCACAGCAGUCUCUGCGGACAUCCUAGCCGAACAAGAAGCGUUGCAUACUGUGGAAGAAAAUGUGAUGAAACUUGAAAACGAACUUUUGGGUGAGUCACUGAAC